rnacentral:rRNA from 1 species
UACGGAGGGUGCAAACGUUGCUCGGAAUCAUUGGGCGUAAAGCGCACGUAGGCGGUCUGAUAAGUCGGGUGUGAAAGCCCUCGGCUCAACCGAGGAAGUGCAUUCGAAACUGCCAGACUUGAAUAUGGAAGAGGGUCGCGGAAUUCCCGGUGUAGAGGUGAAAUUCGUAGAUAUCGGGAGGAACACCAGUGGCGAAGGCGGCGACCUGGGCCAAUAUUGACGCUGAGGUGCGAAAGCGUGGGGAGCAAACAGGG